rnacentral:rRNA from 1 species
ACGGGUGAGUAACGCGUGGGUAACCUGCCUCAUACAGGGGGAUAACAGCCGGAAACGGCUGCUAAAACCGCAUAAUAUUACGCAGUCGCAUGACAGUGUAAUCAAAUAUUUUAUAGGUAUGAGAUGGGCCCGCGUCUGAUUAGCUAGUUGGUGAGGUAAUGGCUCACCAAGGCGACGAUCAGUAGCCGGCUUGAGAGAGUGACCGGCCACAUUGGGACUGAGACACGGCCCAAACUCCUACGGGAGGCAGCAGUGGGGAAUAUUGCACAAUGGGGGAAACCCUGAUGCAGCGACGCCGCGUGAGUGAAGAAGUAUUUCGGUAUGUAAAGCUCUAUCAGCAGGGAAGAAAAUGACGGUACCUGACUAAGAAGCCCCGGCUAACUACGUGCCAGCAGCCGCGGUAAUACGUAGGGGGCAAGCGUUAUCCGGAUUUACUGGGUGUAAAGGGAGCGUAGGUGGUUCGGCAAGUCAGAUGUGAAAGCCCGGGGCUCAACCCCGGGACUGCAUUUGAAACUGUCGUACUAGAGUGCAGGAGAGGUAAGUGGAAUUCCUAGUGUAGCGGUGAAAUGCGUAGAUAUUAGGAGGAACACCAGUGGCGAAGGCGGCUUACUGGACUGUAACUGACACUGAGGCUCGAAAGCGUGGGGAGCAAACAGGAUUAGAUACCCUGGUAGUCCACGCGGUAAACGAUGAAUACUAGUGUUGGGGGUCAAAAGACCUUCGGUGCCGGCGCAACGCAUUAAGUAUUCCACCUGGGGAGUACGUUCGCAAGAAUGAAACUCAAAGGAAUUGACGG